rnacentral:rRNA from 1 species
UGGAUUUCGAAAGAUGUGCGGUUAUCAAACAGGAUUAGAUACCCUGGUAGUCCACACAGUAAACGAUGAAUACUCGCUGUUUGCGAUACACUGCAAGCGGCCAAGCGAAAGCAUUAAGUAUUCCACCUGGGGAGUACGCCGGCAACGGUGAAACUCAAAGGAAUUGACGGGGGCCCGCACAAGCGGAGGAACAUGUGGUUUAAUUCGAUGAUACGCGAGGAACCUUACCCAGGCUUAAAUUGCAAAUGAAUAUAGUUGAAAGAUUAUAGCCUUCGGGCAUUUGUGAAGGUGCUGCAUGGUUGUCGUCAGCUCGUGCCGUGAGGUGUCGGCUUAAGUGCCAUAACGAGCGCAACCCUUAUCUUUAGUUACUAACAGGUCAUGCUGAGGACUCUAAAGAGACUGCCGUCGUAAGAUGCGAGGAAGGUGGGGAUGACGUCAAAUCAGCACGGCCCUUACGUCUGGGGCUACACACGUGUUACAAUGGGGGGUACAGAAGGCAGCUACCGGGUGACCGGAUGCUAAUCCCAAAAGCCUCUCUCAGUUCGGAUCGAAGUCUGCAACCCGACUUCGUGAAGCUGGAUUCGCUAGUAAUCGCGCAUCAGCCACGGCGCGGUGAAUACGUUCCCGGGCCUUGUACACACCGCCCGUCAAGCCAUGGGAGCCGGGGGUACCUGAAGUAUCGUAAACCGCAAGGAGCGUGCCUAGGGUAAAACCUGGUGAUCUGGGGUUAAGUCGUAAACAAGGUAGCCGAAUCGA